rnacentral:lncRNA from 1 species
AGUCCUCCCAGAUGUCAGACACCCAGCAGUUAUGGGCCAGGCUUUUGGAGUCUGUCUGCUUUGCCCUCUGCCAUCUCUCCUCAUGCCAUACUCACUCCAGGGGAGGUCAUCCUCAGCUGAGACUUCAACAUUGCUAUCCAAAUCUCCCUACCUCCAAGACUCCAUCCCAGGCUUCUCUUCGGAGUACCACCAAACAUCUACACAUGCUUGGUAAGUGCCAGCAUUUCCCAGGGCUAUUCCCGGAUGCCUUGAACUCAAAUUGUCUAUUGCCUCAAUCGUC